GGGGGCGAGUAAAGCGGCGAAAGGGUUAGUAACGCGUAGGUAACGUACCCCAGAGCUCGGGACAACCCAUCGAAAGGUGGGCUAAUACCGGAUAGAAUACUGGCGCGCAUGCGCUGGAUAUGAAAGAUGGGGAUUCUUCGGGACCUGUCACUUUGGGAGCGGCCUGCGUCCUAUCAGUUAGUUGGUGAGGUAACGGCUCACCAAGACUUACGGGUAGCCGAGCUGAGAGGCUGACCGGCAACACUGGGACUGAGACACUGCCCAGACUCCUACGGGAGGCUGCAGUCGAGGAUCUUUAACAAUGGGCGAAAGCCUGAUUAUGCGACGCCGCGUGCAGGAUGAAGGCCUUCGGGUUGUAAACUGCUGACAGGGGUUAGGAAAUGCGGCGGUGUGAACAUCACCGCCGUUUGACCAGCCCCAGAGGAAGCCAUGGCUAACUACGUGCCAGCAGCAGCGGUAAUACGUAGAUGGCAAGCGUUGUUCGGAAUCACUGGGCAUAAAGAACGCGUAGGCGGUUCUGUAAGUCAGAUGUGAAAUCCCCCGGCUUAACCGAGGAAUUGCGUUUGAGACUGCAGGACUGGAGUGCAGAAGGGGAGAGUGGAAUUCCUGGUGGAGCGGUGAAAUGCGUAGAUAUCAGGAAGAACGCCGGAGGCGAAAGCGACUCUCUAGUCUGUAACUGACGCUGAGGUGCGAAAGCCAAGGGAGCAAACAGGAUUAGAUACCCUGGUAGUCUUGGCUGUAAACGAUGGGCACUAAGUAGAGGGGAUUCCGAUGUCUCCUCUGCUGGAGCAAAUGUGUUAAGUGCCCCGCCUGGGGAGUAUGGCCGCAAGGUUAAAACUCAAAGGAAUUGACGGGGGCUCGCACAAGCGGUGGAGUAUGUGGCUUAAUUCGAGGCAACGCGAAGAACCUUACCCGGGUUUGACAUGCAGGUGGUACAGACCCGAAAGGGCGAGGACCUCAGCAAUGGGGAGCCUGCACAGGUGUUGCAUGGCUGUCGUCAGCUCGUGUCGUGAGAUGUUGGGUUAAGUCCCGCAACGAGCGCAACCCCUAUCGUUAGUUGCCAUCAGGUCUUCGGACGCUGGGAACUCUAACGAGACUGCCCGGGUUAACCGGGAAGAAGGUGGGGAUGAUGUCA
rnacentral:rRNA from 1 species